rnacentral:rRNA from 1 species
GACUCCUACGGGAGGCAGCAGUGGGGAAUAUUGGGCAAUGGAGGAAACUCUGACCCAGCGACGCCGCGUGCGGGAUGAAGGCCUUCGGGUUGUAAACCGCUUUCAGUAGGGAAGAAGCGAAAGUGACGGUACCUACAGAAAAGCACCGGCUAACUAUGUG